rnacentral:rRNA from 1 species
UACGUAGGUGGCAAGCGUUGUCCGGAUUUACUGGGCGUAAAGAGCGCGCAGGCGGUCGAUUUAGUCGCGUGUGAAAGCCCCCGGCUCAACUGGGGAGGGUCACGCGAUACUGAUCGACUCGAAGGCAGGAGAGGGUAGUGGAAUUCCCGGUGUAGUGGUGAAAUGCGUAGAUAUCGGGAGGAACACCAGUGGCGAAGGCGACUUCCUGGCCUGUUCUUGACGCUGAGGCGCGAAAGCUAGGGUAGCAAACGGG